rnacentral:lncRNA from 1 species
GCAAAGCAAUCAUAAUAAUAUAUAUUGAUUAAAAAAAAGACUAUCAGAUGAUGGGUAGACUACUCGAUUAAUAUUUUCCAUUUUCUCCCUACUCUCUGCUAACUUAUAUUCUCCUUUUGUUUUCAAUUCAUCCUGCAGUUUUUUAUUUUUUAUUUUUUUUGUGUUCUUUGCCAAUGAACUAACUUAUUCUCCUUCACCAUUGACCACUCCACCUAAGGCUAAGGCUGCACCUUCCACUGCGCCGGACGCCGCCUCUCUGCCUUCUCCUCCCUCGCCUUUCACUGUCACCUCACUAGAGAUUUCUCCCUCUUCAGAGUCUGCUUCCACCUUUG